UAUAGGCCUAGCCUCUACGUACCUUCUAUAUAAAGGGGUUCAAGUUAUAGAAUUACAAGCACCAAAUUACAAACAAGCUAGCCUUUUUUAAUUAUAUAUUGUAUAUAUAGUUAGAUUUUAAUUAUUAUAUAUACUAGCUACUUAGAAAUUAUAUAUAUAUAUAUAUGGCACCAAGAAAGUCCAACAUUAUGAAGGCUGGCCUAGAAGGGUUUGCUAUGUUGGACGAGGUCUUUGGACAUAAGGGCGGAUCAAAGCAGCCUCCUCCUCCUUCUCCUCAACAGCAGCAAAUAGUACCACGCACAAUAUCUACAUAUAGGUUUCCACGUCGGCCACUAAAUCCCCAUGUUGUUCAGGUGAUUGUUCCUGUACUGGUUCCUGUAGCUAAGGAGGAAGUACGUAUCGAUUGCUAUGAGGCAGCCAAGCUCUAUAAUGGCACCGUGAUUGUGGAUUAUCCUAAACUCAAGUAAUUAACAUUGCUUAAUUUGUAAUUAGGCUCAUCAAAUCAUAUAUAUAUAUAUAUAUAUAUGAUCUCCUACUUUAUGUAUAAUAAGUUGUCUCUAAAAUAAUUAAGCUACGUCCCUAGCUAGCUCUUGUAUUUUAGAAUGAAAAAAAUUGGCAUGUUUGUAGAUGUGCUAUGCAUGAUCUUACUUUUAGAAGUCGCACCAGCCUCUACUAGAUCUUAAUUAAGAGAGAUUAUUGGUGUUUGAUAAAAUUGAGUAAAUAAUAUUUGAAUGAUAUUUAAUAUAUUUUAAUAAAUUA
rnacentral:lncRNA from 1 species